rnacentral:rRNA from 1 species
GGGUGGUAAUGCCGGAUGCUCCAGUUGACCGCAUGGUCCUCUGGGAAAGCUUUUGCGGUAUGGGAUGGGGUCGCGUCCUAUCAGCUUGAUGGCGGGGUAACGGCCCACCAUGGCUUCGACGGGUAGCCGGCCUGAGAGGGCGACCGGCCACAUUGGGACUGAGAUACGGCCCAGACUCCUACGGGAGGCAGCAGUGGGGAAUAUUGCACAAUGGGCGCAAGCCUGAUGCAGCGACGCCGCGUGCGGGAUGACGGCCUUCGGGUUGUAAACCGCUUUUGACUGGGAGCAAGCCCUUCGGGGUGAGUGUACCUUUCGAAUAAGCACCGGCUAACUACGUGCCAGCAGCCGCGGUAAUACGUAGGGUGCAAGCGUUAUCCGGAAUUAUUGGGCGUAAAGGGCUCGUAGGCGGUUCGUCGCGUCCGGUGUGAAAGUCCAUCGCUUAACGGUGGAUCCGCGCCGGGUACGGGCGGGCUUGAGUGCGGUAGGGGAGACUGGAAUUCCCGGUGUAACGGUGGAAUGUGUAGAUAUCGGAA